AAGAACUAACUUCAGGAUCAUUCUGUAGUCGUCUUCAUUACUUUCUUUGCAAUUCGAAAGUAUUCGGGCCACGAUGAGGAGGUUAAUCGUUUAUCUGACAGCGUGAGGUUUAUGAACUUCAUCCCAAAUUUUGUCUAUGGCAAUUUGAGAUGA